AUCUGAGUGAGACGCGGUUUCCAUCUGUGAGGCAUUGUGAAGUGCGGGUAAAGUUAUUGGUAAGUAAGUUUGUUCCUUGACGACACGUUUGUAAUUACCCUUGUGUGUUUGAUAUUAAUGAAAGUUGUCAUCGUUGGCAUCUUGUUUGUGUUUGAUUAUGAUUCAGUGUACUAUAUUCCUGAUGCUGAUGGUCAUUGCUAAUGACCAUAUUUAGUCUUAUCAGGAUGCACCAGGGUUUGCUCUGGUAUAAAGCCAACUACUGGUCAGCACAUGCAAGACGAAACAAGAUCAAGACUUGACUCUUUCCACUGCAUUGACAUCUCAAAACAUGGAAAACAGCAGUUUUGGGCUUUUAAAUGUGACUGGAAACUCAAUAGACAAGAGCACUGUGGAGGACGAGGGAUUUAAGAUGUUUUUUUGCCUGCAUUUUCUUUUCCACCGUCAUAGUAGGUCUCAUUGAAAAUGGUCUGGUCAUAUUUCUGGCCGGCUGCAGAAUGAAGACGACUGUCAACUCCAUUUGGUUUCUCAAUUUGGCGAUUGCAGACAUCAUCUUUCUUUUAAUUUCAGUCACAAAUGUUUGCUUAAUCUUGAGCAAGCAGCACAGUGUCUUCACAGACGUCUUUUUUUUCAUCAUAGCAUCACUAAAUGUGUUUGUUAGCGUUUGGUCUCUUGUAGUUAUCAGUCUGGAUCGAUGUCUGUGCACAUGGAUGACCGUUUUGGUUCAAAAUAACAGAACUCUGCGUAAAGCCAGAAUCACCUGCAUCAUCAUCUGGGUUUCAUCCAUCAGCUACAUUCUUCGUUUUUGAGGUUACAAAUACAAUUAUUGUCACAUAUGGAUUUAUAAUGUCCUUUGUCAUCCCCUUCCUGAUCAUUGCAUCUUCACACAUCGAUAUUGGAGUAAAAAACAA
ensembl:processed_transcript